rnacentral:tRNA from 1 species
UGUAGCUCAGUUGGUAGAGUGCUUACCUAAUAUGCAAAAGUCCUGGGUUCAACACCCAGCA